UAGCUAAGAUACUAUGCAGGAGUCUCAAGCUCCCAGGCCUCUGGUAGAGGACCUGAGCUUGAAGAAAAGAAAAGUAACAUACUAGUAAAAUAAUAAGGAAAUUACAAUGAACUCUCUGAAUAGGUUCAACAUAUUUCCUGCCAAGACACUGCUCCUUGUGUUACCUUCAGCAUGUUUCCCUGAUCCCAGCUCCAAGAGGAGCCUUCAAAUCCAUAGGAGAGAGCAAAAUAGCCUAUGCUGCCACUCCUACAGGACUCUGGUUUGUUGGGUCCAAACAGCAAGAUGGAAGCUAUUUUUCUGGCUAAGAACCUUUUUUUUUGUAUUGGAAAACCAUGGAACUAUUCAAGAUUUUGGUACCACCACCAGAACCAUGCCAAUGGAAAAGCGCUAUCAGUGGUUGUUGGAAAUGUAAUCUAAUGAGUGUUCAAGCCUGGGACAACACAUUUGUUCUUCUUUUCAGAAAGUACUGUUUCAUAGUUAAAAUUAUUCCUUGAAUUUGACUAAAAGUUCUUGGAAAAGCCAGUAGAACUCUACAUCUAUUUGCAGAAUAUUUAAAGGGAAACUGACACUGCUCCCAUAUUAACUGACU